rnacentral:misc_RNA from 1 species
AAUUCUCAAAACCCCUUCCUUUGCCGGAAUGGAUUUUGGACUUGGAGGCCUUUUGCUGGUUUCAUUUCGAAGCCAGCUCCUCCUAAAUGGAUUAGUGGGGUCCGUUUUGCCGAUCCUUGACGUGAUAAGACGCUUCUACGUCUCGGGUUAUUGGCACUGUGCCUCUGCUUCUAACCGUCUCUUUUGACAACGAUGGUGUUCCGGUCACCGCCGAUUCUUCGGUGGGAGGCUUGACCCACAAAACGA